rnacentral:tRNA from 1 species
AGAAGCUCAGUUGGUUGAGCAUGGUGCUGAUAACACCAAGGUCAAGGGUUCGAUUCCCAUUCUG